AUGGAGGAGAAAAUGCAAGUAAUAAACAGUCAAACCGAAAUAGAUUCUUAUGUAAAACAAGCAGAAGACGAGUCACACUCCAAGUUCGUCUGUAUAUCCGUGGACCGAGGCUUCAGUGACAAAGAUUGGCAGCCUUUACCCACUAACAGAGUGUACUGGCAGUGGUCGGGAGGAGGUUGGACGCCAUCCAUUGAAUUCACCGGGGUCCCCUUUAUGUUUGUUGGGGGCAAGAGACUCGGGUGUUAUCGAGGCAAAGACCGCGCAGUGGCCCAGAAGAAGAAAUAUGCAGAGGAGAAGGCCAAAAGGAUGAUGCUCAGCGACAACAGGGAGAGGACUCGGAAGAGAACUUCAAAGGCACUGAGACUGGCUUUACAAAAAGACCCAGUGGUUUGGGAGAGCAGCUUUGUCAUCACACACCACAGUGAGCACAGUAUUUCUUAACAUUCAGUAAACACGUGAAUAUAAAACACUAGACAGAUCUCACGUAUGAACAUUUACACUGUCUACCACUUGAUGGCGCACUUUGCGCAUAAGUGAAGAGAUUGGUUUGCAAAUAGUCGUUUAGAAUGUGUCUGUGUAGAGUUAGAAAGGGGAGUUUUGGUAAUCCUGUGC
rnacentral:lncRNA from 1 species